rnacentral:siRNA from 1 species
CUUUCGACCAAACCCUGAAUCUCC